UACGUAGGGUGCGAGCGUUGUCCGGAAUUAUUGGGCGUAAAGGGCUCGUAGGCGGUUUGUCACGUCGGGAGUGAAAACUCAGGGCUCAACCCUGAGCGUGCUUCCGAUACGGGCAGACUAGAGGUAUGCAGGGGGAGAACGGAAUUCCUGGUGUAGCGGUGGAAUGCGCAGAUAUCAGGAGGAACACCAAUGGCGAAGGCAGCACUCUGGGACGUGACUGACGCUGAGACGCGAAAGCGUGGGGAGCAAACAGG
rnacentral:rRNA from 1 species